AUUGAACGCUGGCGGCAGGCCUAACACAUGCAAGUCGGACGGUAGCACAGAGGAGCUUGCUCCUCGGGUGACGAGUGGCGGACGGGUGAGUAAUGUCUGGGGAUCUGCCCGAUAGAGAGGGAUAACCACUGGAAACGGUUGCUAAUACCGCAUAACGUCGCAAGACCAAAGAGGGGGACCUUCGGGCCUCUCACUAUCGGAUGAACCCAGAUGGGAUUAGCUAGUAGGCGGGGUAACGGCCCACCUAGGCGACGAUCCCUAGCUGGUCUGAGAGGAUGACCAGCCACACUGGAACUGAGACACGGUCCAGACUCCUACGGGAGGCAGCAGUGGGGAAUAUUGCACAAUGGGCGCAAGCCUGAUGCAGCCAUGCCGCGUGUAUGAAGAAGGCCUUCGGGUUGUAAAGUACUUUCAGCGGGGAGGAAGGCGAUGUGGUUAAUAACCGCGUCGAUUGACGUUACCCGCAGAAGAAGCACCGGCUAACUCCGUGCCAGCCGCCGCUGUAA
rnacentral:rRNA from 1 species